rnacentral:sRNA from 1 species
UAAGAAAAUAAUAAAAAUCAAGUUGGGUACCCACAGGUAGUCUCGGAACAAUCAGGUUUUUUCGGGCUUUACCCACUAAAUCAAAAAUCCAUCUGGGUUUUUUAAAGUUGGGUUUUUGGUGGACGGAUUUAUUUUGGAUUCAGGUCGGGCUGGGCUUUUUUACCCACAACAACAUCUCUAACCGUACCAAUUCAUUUUCUAUGUAGAAUUACAUAACUAUAGUUUUUCCUUACAAA